UGAGGCUGCUAGUUGUCAUUGCACUAUUCAGCUUUGUCCUUGUGGCAAGCGAAGCCCGGAUAGUUGACAGAUGUGAGCUAGCAAAGGAACUUAGAUACUGGGGGCUGGAUGGAUAUCUUGGUUUUACCCUGGGUGACUGGCUUUGUAUAAUCUUUAAUGAAAGUGGCUACAACACUAAACCUCCAAUGAGUAAUAAAGGAGUUAAAUUAUAUGGGUUGUUCAGGAUUAACCAUCAAUACUGGUGCUCUGAUGGUGUUGAGCCCACAAAGAACCAAUGCAAAGUUGCCUGUCAAAAGCUAACUGAUGAUGACAUCAAGGAUGAUAUUUUGUGUGCCAAAAAAAUUCUAGAGAUGUCUAUGAGCCUUAAGGCCUGGCCAGUCUGGCAGAGAAUGUGUUAUAUGAAAGACCUUUCCAGUUAUCUUCAAGGCUGUCCACUCUGAAAUCCCAAUUCUGGCUGGCAU